rnacentral:rRNA from 1 species
AUGGCCUCGACGAGGGAUCUCGCCAUAGCGUCCAUCUCCGCCGCCGCAGGCGCCGUAGCUGCCGCGGCCGCGGUUCUAUACUCUUACACGGCAACCAACGCCAAGCCCCAGAAGCCGGCCCCGCCCCCGCCGUUCACCGAGCCACUCCCCGUCAACGGCUGCGCCGCCAGGCAUCCGCCAGCGCAGGACCCCUUCAAAACCACGAAGAGGGAAGGGUUCAUCUCAUGGGACGACUACUUCAUGGCGAUUGCUUUCCUUUCAGCCGAGCGUUCCAAGGAUCCUAACCGGCAGGUUGGCGCUUGCUUGGUUAGCCAAGAGGGCAUUAUCCUAGGUAUUGGCUACAAUGGAUUCCCAAGAGGCUGUUCGGAUGAUAAGCUUCCUUGGGCAAAGAAAUCUGCAAGAGGGGAUCCAUUGGAGACAAAAUAUCCCUAUGUUGUUCAUGCUGAAGUUAAUGCUAUUUUAAAUACAAACCAUGCUUCAGCGGCUGGACAGAAGUUAUACGUCACCAUGUUCCCCUGUAAUGAGUGUGCUAAGAUUAUCAUCCAGUCAGGUGUAUCUGAAGUCAUCUAUUUUGUAGAGAAAAGGAUCGACAACUCAGAUCAUGUUUAUGUUGCUUCUCACAACUUAUUAUCAAUGGCUGGUGUGAAGGUCAGGAAGCAUCAGCCGCAAAUGGCACAAAUACCAAUCAACUUUCAGGAGCCAAGGGUCUAA